rnacentral:rRNA from 1 species
GAGUUCUGGGCCGCACGCGCGCUACACUGACGGAGCCAGCGAGUACCUCCUUGGCCGGAAGGCCCGGGUAAUCUUGUUAAACUCCGUCGUGCUGGGGAUAGAGCAUUGCAAUUAUUGCUCUUCAACGAGGAAUCCCUAGUAAGCGCAAGUCAUCAGCUUGCGUUGAUUACGUCCCUGCCCUUUGUACACACCGCCCGUCGCUACUACCGAUUGAAUGGCUCAGUGAGGCGUCCGGACUGGCCCAGAGAGGUGGGCAACUACCACUCAGGGCCGGAAAGCUCUCCAAACUCGGUCAUUUAGAGGAAGUAAAAGUCGUAACAAGGUCUCCGUUGGUGAACCAGCGGAGGGAUCAUUACCGAGUUUACAACUCCCAAACCCCUGUGAACAUACCUAACGUUGCCUCGGCGGGAAAGCCCCGGGCGCUGGCGCAAGCCUCGCACCGGUAUCAGGCGCCCGCCGGAGGACCAAACCAAACUCUUGUAUUCUAAAGAAUCUUCUGAGUAACCAUAAGUUAAUAAAUUAAAACUUUCAACAACGGAUCUCUUGGUUCUGGCAUCGAUGAAGAACGCAGCGAAAUGCGAUAAGUAAUGUGAAUUGCAGAAUUCAGUGAAUCAUCGAAUCUUUGAACGCACAUUGCGCCCGCCAGUACUCUGGCGGGCAUGCCUGUUCGAGCGUCAUUUCAACCCUCAAGCUCUGCUUGGUGUUGGGGAUCGGCGUAAUGCCUUCGGGCGCUGCCGUCCCCUAAAUCUAGUGGCGGUCUCGCCGUAAAUACCUCUGCGUAGUAGUUUUCUCCUCCUCUGGGAAUCUCGGGGGGGCCUUGCCGUUAAACCCCCCAACUUUUGGAAAGGUUGACCUCCAAAUCAGGGAGGGAAUACCCCGCCUGAAACUUUAAGCCUUUUCAAUUAAACCGGGGGGGAAAAAAAAAACCCCACCGGGGGGAUUGGCCCCUUAAUAAACCCGGCCAAAAUGAAAACCGGCCCAACCCGCCUCCAAAAUUUUUGAAAAAUUU